AGAGUUUGAUCMUGGCUCAGGAUGAACGCUGGCGGCGUGCCUAACACAUGCAAGUCGAGCGAGAUUUAUAGGAGUGGAGACUUCGGUCAAAGCGAAUAUAAUGAAAGCGGCGGACGGGUGAGUAACGCGUGAGCAAUCUGCCCUACACAGGGGAAUAGCCACUGGAAACGGUGAUUAAUACCCCAUAAGACCCCAGAGCCGCAUGGUUCGGAGGUCAAAGCUGAGGCGGUGUAGGAUGAGCUCGCGUCUGAUUAGCUAGUUGGUGAGGUAAUGGCUCACCAAGGCGACGAUCAGUAGCCGGCCUGAGAGGGUGAACGGCCACACUGGAACUGAGACACGGUCCAGACUCCUACGGGAGGCAGCAGUGGGGAAUAUUGCACAAUGGGCGAAAGCCUGAUGCAGCAACGCCGCGUGAAUGAUGAAGGCCUUCGGGUCGUAAAGUUCUGUCCUAGGGGAAGAAUAAAAUGACGGUACCCUGGGAGGAAGCCCCGGCUAACUACGUGCCAGCAGCCGCGGUAAUACGUAGGGGGCAAGCGUUAUCCGGAAUUACUGGGCGUAAAGGGAGCGUAGGCGGUUUGACAAGCCAGUGGUGAAAGGCAAUAGCUUAACUAUUGUAAGCCAUUGGAACUGUCGAACUUGAGUGCAGGAGAGGUAAGUGGAAUUCCUAGUGUAGCGGUGAAAUGCGUAGAUAUUAGGAGGAACACCAGUGGCGAAGGCGACUUACUGGACUGUAACUGACGCUGAGGCUCGAAAGCGUGGGGAGCAAACAGGAUUAGAUACCCUGGUAGUCCACGCUGUAAACGAUGAAUACUAGGUGUCAGGGGUCAAACCUUGGUGCCGCAGCUAACGCAUUAAGUAUUCCGCCUGGGGAGUACGCACGCAAGUGUGAAACUCAAAGGAAUUGACGGGGACCCGCACAAGCAGCGGAGCAUGUGGUUUAAUUCGAAGCAACGCGAAGAACCUUACCAGGUCUUGACAUCCACUUGACCGGUCCUUAGCCGGACCUUUCCUUCGGGACAAGUGAGACAGGUGGUGCAUGGUUGUCGUCAGCUCGUGUCGUGAGAUGUUGGGUUAAGUCCCGYAACGAGCGCAACCCUUGCCUUUAGUUGCCAUCAGAUAAUGCUGGGCACUCUAGAGGGACUGCCGGUGACAAACCGGAGGAAGGUGGGGAUGACGUCAAAUCAUCAUGCCCCUUAUGAUCUGGGCUACACACGUGCUACAAUGGUCGGUACAACGGGCAGCCAAGGAGCAAUCUGGAGCCAAUCCCUUAAAGCCGAUCCCAGUUCGGAUUGUGGGCUGAAACUCGCCCACAUGAAGUUGGAGUUGCUAGUAAUCGCGGAUCAGAAUGCCGCGGUGAAUGCGUUCCCGGGUCUUGUACACACCGCCCGUCACACCAUGGAAGUUUGGGGGACCCGAAGCCAGUGAUCCAACCGUAAGGAGGAAGCUGUCGAAGGUAAGACAAAUGACUGGGGUGAAGUCGUAACAAGGUAACC
rnacentral:rRNA from 1 species